AAAUGACUCAAGUGCUCCAUCAACUCAGCCUCAUUCCAUUCCAUUGGUGCCGCCACCACCACCACCGUCAUCAACUGUGACAUGCCAAUGAAUCACUUAUGUUCGGAUGCUUUCUCACGGUCUCUGCAGAGAAAACUAAGUGUGCGUCAUGAGCCCUGUGUGAUGGCAGCUGGUCCACUGAGCUUCACGCACGUGAUCUUACUGCAUCCUUCCAGCUCUGAGACACAGAGAGGACAGACACAGAGAAAAGGUCCUGAAACGCAAAUGACUGCCGAGGUCACACCAAAGGGACCAACAGAAACUUCAACAGCGGGCAGUGGCUGAGCACGGCAUUUGAGGACAACAGUUUAGAGAUCAAUAUUUUUCAAAGACUAUGUCCACAGACGCCCAGCACCGGUGGCCCCUGGCUGCACUGGCCCCUGCCUACUUACUCCUGUCUUUCGGUUGUGAGUCUCGCUGCAAAAGUUUAAUCUCAACUGGAAAUACAUUUGUUUAUGUCAUCCGCUAAGUAAAAAUGCAAAAUGUGUCAGUGUCUGUAGAACUGGAGGAAUCCUGAGAAUAUCCCCAGGCUCCUCCGAAGCAGGUCCAGGCGUCCAUGAACCCACUGUUCUGUUUCUCAUGGAAGAAACACUAAACCGACCGCCCAUGAACGGAAGCCAGAUGGACAGACGUGAAGAAGAGAAGAGCUACUCUAAGUGGUGUGAGGAGCCCGGAGCACAGCCUGGGGCAGCAACGGGUCUGCUUCUAGGACAGCGGUUCUCAACCUUCCUAAUGCCGCGACCCUUUAAUACAGUUCCUCAUGUUGUGGUGACCCCCAAUUUCAUUGUUACAAAUUGAACAUAA